UUUGAAGAAAAGAGAAAAAGGAGGCUAUGGCAAGAGAAAAAAUAAGAGAAGGUAUAUGGAGAACAUCCAUUGAUAGAGCUUGGAAGAAUUUUGCUGGAAAAGUCUAAGAUACUCAAGAGUGGAGUCACUGCUAUGAGUGGAAGCUUGUUCCUGGAGUUAUUUCUUUUAAUUUCUUUGUUUUAGCUUUGGUUAUGCUCUGAUAUGUAACACUGGGGAGCAAUUUCUUUGUUUAAUGUUGAGAUUUCUGAGAGAAAAUGUAUUCUCUCGUAUUUUAUGUUUUGGUGUGAUAAGCAUUUGGAGAAGACUUACGAGUCGAUGCUUUUUAAUUAUGAUAUGAGAUUUAAAUUGGUGUGUUUUAA